CCUACGGGAGGCAGCAGUGAGGAAUAUUGGUCACUGGACGAGAGUCUGAACCAGCCAAGUAGCGUGAAGGAUGACUGCCCUAUGGGUUGUAAACUUCUUUUAUAUGGGAAUAAAAUGUUCCACGUGUGGGAUUUUGUAUGUACCAUAUGAAUAAGGAUCGGCUAACUCCGUGCCAGCAGCCGCGGUAAUACGGUGGAUCCGAGCGUGAUCCGGAUUUAUUGGGUUUAAAGGGAGCGUAGGUGGAUUGUUAAGGCAGUUGUGAAAGUUUGCGGCUCAACCGUAAAAUUGCAGUUGAAACUGGCAGUCGUGAGUACAGUAGAGGUGGGCGGAAUUCGGGGUGUAGCGGUGAAAUGCUUAGAUAUCACGAAGAACUCCGAUUGCGAAGGCAGUUCACUGGACUGCAACUGACACUGAGGCUCGAAAGUGUGGGUAUCAAACAGGAUUAGAUACCCGAGUAGUC
rnacentral:rRNA from 1 species